rnacentral:rRNA from 1 species
UACGAAGGGGGCUAGCGUUGUUCGGAAUUACUGGGCGUAAAGCGCGCGCAGGCGGUCCUUUAAGUCAGGGGUGAAAGCCCAGAGCUCAACUCUGGAACUGCCUUUGAAACUAGAGGACUUGGGUACGGGAGAGGUGAGUGGAAUUCCGAGUGUAGAGGUGAAAUUCGUAGAUAUUCGGAAGAACACCAGUGGCGAAGGCGGCUCACUGGCCCGUUACCGACGCUCAGGCGCGACAGCGUGGGGGAGCAAACAGGG